UUAAAAUAGCCCAAGUCUUUAUUCUCCUUUUCAACCCGUCUGCUACUUCAAUAAGGAAGAAAACCUCUUAUUCCACCAAACCAAACCAAGUGUCCUCUCUUCUUCUCCUUCUCAUCUUCAAGAUCAAAGAAAACCAUAGCUUUCUCUUCACUUCCUAGUGCCGUGCGACUUACAAGAAAAGGAGUAAACUGUUUUCUUCUUCCCCCAAGUCGUGCCUUACCCCUCUUCCAUACCCAUUUUUGGGUUGUUCCUAGCUGGAAAUUCAAAGCAUAUUUUCAUCUUCUAAAUGAUGAAACCUGGAAACCAAGGUUUUAUGUUUCUCUAGUCCAUUAAGCCGAAAUCACCUCUUCCAUUCAUCAUUUUCGUGUUUUGGAAGGGAUUCAUCAAAGGUAAUGACGAAAAGGCUGGGGAGCAGGGCAUUACUGCAGAGAAGGAGGCAAACAUUUAGUGUCUUUCCUGUUGGUUUGACCUUACAUGGAUGAUAAUUUAUGUUUAUGAAUGUUAUUUUUAUGUUGGGAUGGGUCCUUUGUCAGGUUUGACUUUAAAUCAUGUAUCUUUUGGUAGAGUGUAACCGUUAUGGUAGGGCAAUGGUAAACCCUUAUAAAUUGACUUAGUGCCUUCUUGUACAUAUGGUAGAGAUGGAGUCCCUUCCUAACUAGAGCAGUUAUGUUUUUAUGAACGUAUGAUAGACUCUGAGAGUCUGUUUAUGGAGGAAUGUUAAA